UACGGGGGGGGCAAGCGUUGUUCGGAAUUACUGGGCGUAAAGGGCUCGUAGGUGGCCAACUAAGUCAGACGUGAAAUCCCUCGGCUCAACCGGGGAACGACGCAUGAAACUGGCAAGCUAGAGUACCAAAGAGGGGGGUGGAAUUCCUGGUGUAGCGGUGAAAUGCGCAGAUAUCAGGAAGAACACCCGUGGCGAAGGCGGCUCUCUGGGCCUUACCUGACGCUGAGGAGCGAAAGCGUGGGGAGCGAACAGG
rnacentral:rRNA from 1 species